GAUGAACGCUGGCGGCGUGCCUAAUACAUGCAAGUCGAGCGAACAGACGAGGAGCUUGCUCCUCUGACGUUAGCGGCGGACGGGUGAGUAACACGUGGAUAACCUACAUCUCAGACUGGGAUAACUUCGGGAAACCGGAGCUAAUACCGGAUAAUAUAUUGAACCGCAUGGUUCAAUAGUGAAAUACGGUUUUGCUGUCACUUAUAGAUGGAUCCGCGCCGCAUUAGCUAGUUGGUACGGUAACGGCUUACCAAGGCAACGAUGCGUAGCCGACCUGAGAGGGGGAUCGGCCACACUGGAACUGAGACACGGUCCAGACUCCGACGGGAGGCAGCAGUAGGGAAGCUUCCGCAAUGGGCGAAAGCCUGACGGAGCAACGCCGCGUGAGUGAAGAAGGUCUGCGGAUCGUAAAACUCUGUUAUUAGGGAAGAACAAAUGUGUAAGUAACGAUGCACGUCUUGACGGUACCUAAGCAGAAAGCCACGGCUAACUACGU
rnacentral:rRNA from 1 species